rnacentral:rRNA from 1 species
UAGGGAAUCUUCCACAAUGGACGCAAGUCUGAUGGAGCAACGCCGCGUGAGUGAAGAAGGUUUUCGGACCGUAAAGCUCUGUUGUUGGUGAAGAAGGAUAGAGGUAGUAACUGGCCUUUAUUUGACGGUAAUCAACCAGAAAGUCACGGCUAACUACGUGCCAGCAGCCGCGGUAAUACGUAGGUGGCAAGCGUUGUCCGGAUUUAUUGGGCGUAAAGCGAGCGCAGGCGGAAGAAUAAGUCUGAUGUGAAAGCCCUCGGCUUAACCGAGGAAUUGCAUCGGAAACUGUUUUCUUGAGUGCAGAAGAGGAGAGUAGAACUCCAUGUGCAGCGGUGGAAUGCGUAGAUAUAUGGAAGAAUACCAGUGGCGA